rnacentral:rRNA from 1 species
UACGGGGGGGGUAAGCGUUGUUCGGAAUUACUGGGCGUAAAGGCCUCGUAGGCGGUCUGUUGCGUCUGCUGUGAAAACCCGGGGCUUAACCCCUGGCUUGCAGUGGAUACGGACAGACUAGAGGUAGGUAGGGGAGAAUGGAAUUCCCGGUGUAGCGGUGAAAUGCGCAGAUAUCGGGAGGAACACCGGUGGCGAAGGCGGUUCUCUGGGCCUUACCUGACGCUGAGGAGCGAAAGCGUGGGGAGCGAACAGG